GCUAACGUCCGUCGUGAAAAGGGAAACAACCCAGACCGUCAGCUAAGGUCCCGAAAUCCUGGUUAAGUGGGAAACGAUGUGGGAAGGCUCAGACAGCUAGGAGGUUGGCUUAGAAGCAGCCAUCCUUUAAAGAAAGCGUAAUAGCUCACUAGUCGAGUCGGCCUGCGCGGAAGAUGUAACGGGGCUAAACCAGGUACCGAAGCUACGGGUUCACACUUAGGUGUGAGCGGUAGAGGAGCGUCGUGUAAGCCGAUGAAGGUGAAUUGAGAAGUUCGCUGGAGGUAUCACGAGUGCGAAUGCUGACAUGAGUAACGAUAAAGGGAGUGAAAAACUCCCUCGCCGGAAGACCAAGGGUUUCUGUUCGACGCUAAUCGGAGCAGAGUGAGUCGGCCCCUAAGGCGAGGCCGAAAGGCGUAGUCGAUGGGAAACAGGUCAAUAUUCCUGUACCGGACAUGAUUGCGAUGGGGGGACGGAGAAGGCUAGGUGAGCCAGGCGUUGGUUGUCCUGGUGAAAGUGAGUAGGCUUGCAUCUUAGGUAAAUCCGGGAUGCUCUAAGGCCGAGACACGAAACGAACUGACCACGGUCAGGAAGUCAUUGAUGCCACGCUUCCAGGAAAAGCCUCUAAGCUUCAGAUCAUGUGCGACCGUACCCCAAACCGACACAGGUGGUCAGGGUGAGAAUCCCAAGGCGCUUGAGAGAACUCGGGUGAAGGAACUAGGCAAAAUGGUGCCGUAACUUCGGGAGAAGGCACGCCGGCGUAGGGUGACGAGACUUGCUCUCAGAGCCCGAACCGGUCGAAGAUACCAGGUGGCUGCAACUGUUUAGUAAAAACACAGCACUCUGCUAACGCGCAAGCGGACGUAUAGGGUGUGACGCCUGCCCGGUGCCGGAAGGUUAAAUGAUGGUGUUAGCCGCAAGGCGAAGCUCUUGAUUGAAGCCCCGGUAAACGGCGGCCGUAACUAUAACGGUCCUAAGGUAGCGAAAUUCCUUGUCGGGUAAGUUCCGACCUGCACGAAUGGCGUAAUGAUGGCCACGCUGUCUCCACCCGAGACUCAGUGAAAUUGAAAUCGCCGUGAAGAUGCGGUGUACCCGCGGCUAGACGGAAAGACCCCGUGAACCUUUACUAUAGCUUCACACUGGACGCUGAUGUUGCCUGUGUAGGAUAGCUGGGAGGCUUUGAAUCUCGGACGCUAGUUCGAGGGGAGCCAACCUUGAAAUACCAGCCUGGCAUCAUUGGCGUUCUCACUCAGGUCCGUUAUCCGGAUCGAGGACAGUGUGUGGUGGGUAGUUUGACUGGGGCGGUCUCCUCCCAAAGAGUAACGGAGGAGCACGAAGGUACCCUCAGCACGGUCGGACAUCGUGCAGUGAGUGCAAGAGCAUAAGGGUGCUUGACUGCGAGACAGACACGUCGAGCAGGUGCGAAAGCAGGUUCUAGUGAUCCGGUGGUUCUGUAUGGAAGGGCCAUCGCUCAACGGAUAAAAGGUACUCCGGGGAUAACAGGCUGAUACCGCCCAAGAGUUCACAUCGACGGCGGUGUUUGGCACCUCGAUGUCGGCUCAUCACAUCCUGGGGCUGAAGUCGGUCCCAAGGGUAUGGCUGUUCGCCAUUUAAAGUGGUACGCGAGCUGGGUUUAGAACGUCGUGAGACAGUUCGGUCCCUAUCUGCCGUGGGCGUUGGAUGUUUGAGAAGGGCUGCUCCUAGUACGAGAGGACCGGAGUGGACGCACCUCUGGUGUUCCGGUUGUCACGCCAGUGGCAUUGCCGGGUAGCUAUGUGCGGACGGGAUAACCGCUGAAAGCAUCUAAGCGGGAAGCCCCCUUCAAGAUGAGACAUCCCUGAGGCCUAGAGCCUCCUGAAGGGCCCAGCGAGACCAGCUGGUUGAUAGGCACGGUGUGGAAGCGCUGCAAGGCGUU
rnacentral:rRNA from 1 species